rnacentral:rRNA from 1 species
GACGAACGCUGGCGGCGUGCUUAACACAUGCAAGUCGAGCGGUAAGGCCCUUUCGGGGGUACACGAGCGGCGAACGGGUGAGUAACACGUGGGUGACCUGCCCUCAGCUCUGGGAUAAGCCUGGGAAACUGGGUCUAAUACUGGAUAUGACUCCACGGUGCAUGUCGUGGGGUGGAAAGCCUUGUGCGGCUGAGGAUGGGCCCGCGGCCUAUCAGCUUGUUGGUGGGGUGANGGCCUACCAAGGCGACGACGGGUAGCCGGCCUGAGAGGGCGACCGGCCACACUGGGACUGAGACACGGCCCAGACUCCUACGGGAGGCAGCAGUGGGGAAUCUUGCGCAAUGGGCGAAAGCCUGACGCAGCGACGCCGCGUGAGGGAUGACGGCCUCGGU